GACGAAGGGGGCUAGCGUUGUUCGGAAUUACUGGGCGUAAAGCGAGUGUAGGCGGUUGUCGUAGUCAGGUGUGAAAGCCUUGAGCUCAACUCAAGAAAUGCACUUGAUACUGGGCAGCUAGAGGACCGGAGAGGAUAGUGGAAUUCCCAGUGUAGUGGUGAAAUACGUAGAGAUUGGGAAGAACACCAGUGGCGAAGGCGGCUAUCUGGACGGUUCCUGACGCUGAGGCACGAAGGCCAGGGGAGCAAACGGG
rnacentral:rRNA from 1 species